rnacentral:rRNA from 1 species
AUGAACGCUGGCGGCGUGCCUAAUACAUGCCAGUCGAGCGAACGGACGAGAAGCUUGCUUUUCUGAUGUUAGCGGCGGACGGGUGAGUAACACGUGGAUAACCUACCUAUAAGACUGGGAUAACUUCGGGAAACCGGAGCUAAUACCGGAUAAUAUUUUGAACCGCAUGGUUCAUAAGUGAAAGACGGUCUUGCUGUCACUUAUAGAUGGAUCCGCGCUGCAUUAGCUAGUUGGUAAGGUAACGGCUUACCAAGGCAACGAUGCAUAGCCGACCUGAGAGGGUGAUCGGCCACACUGGAACUGAGACACGGUCCAGACUCCUACGGGAGGCAGCAGUAGGGAAUCUUCCGCAAUGGGCGAAAGCCUGACGGAGCAACGCCGCGUGAGUGAUGAAGGUCUUCGGAUCGUAAAACUCUGUUAUUAGGGAAGAACAUAUGUGUAAGUAACUGUGCACAUCUUGACGGUACCUAAUCAGAAAGCCACGGCUAACUACGUG